GCAGGAUGAGGCAGAUCAUGCCUAUUAUUCCAGGUUCUGGGAGGCUGGGAUACCUAGAACUAUGAAUUCCGAGCUGCAGUGGGCUAUGCUAAUCACAUGUCUAUACUAAAUUCAGCAUCAGUAUGGUGAGUCCCUCCAGGAGUGGGGAGUCAGCAGACUAUGUAAGGAGGGGUGAACUGGCCAGGUUGGAAACAAAGCUGGUCAAAGUUUCUGUGCUGAUAAGUAGUGGAACUGGGCCCCUGAUUAACUCAUGCACUACCAGCACUCUUUCCACUGCAUCUACU
rnacentral:SRP_RNA from 1 species